rnacentral:rRNA from 1 species
UACAGAGGGGGCAAGCGUUGUUCGGAAUUACUGGGCGUAAAGGGCGCGUAGGCGGCCCGCUAAGUCGAACGUGAAAUCCCCGGGCUCAACCCGGGAACUGCGUCCGAUACUGGUGGGCUCGAAUCCGGGAGAGGGAUGCGGAAUUCCAGGUGUAGCGGUGAAAUGCGUAGAUAUCUGGAGGAACACCGGUGGCGAAGGCGGCGUUCUGGACUGCAACUGACACUGAGAAACGAAAGCCAGGGUAGCAAACGGG